AGGUGGUGCCCUGUUCCUUGUUGGGCCUCCCUGCAUACCUGCGGCACGUUGGAUGAUUACCGGAGGAGUAUUUGAGCAGCGGGCUGUCACUACCUCGACGCCAGAGUGUUUGCCAGUUUUGGGAAGCCUUUCCCGUGUAUCUGGAUAACCUGGACCUUCUCCCCAUGGAAGGAUUACUGAGGACACACUGAGCAGGGGUAAACCUCCAUAUGAUCGGUUCAAGUCCUCUUCAGAAAACCAAGUGACAGUCUGCUCCUUUACUCCUCUGGGUCCAACGUAAGUCUACCUUUCUGAUCUCUAACGAGUUCCCUUUCCUCUGGAUUAAUUCCCCACAAACUAGAUUCAAGGAUUAACAAGAGCCCCCUUCAAACACUUUCCGGUUCCGGUUCACCAGUCCACCCAGUUCCAGCUCCUACUUCUUUGUUUUAUCAACAUUCAAUAAACCUG